rnacentral:rRNA from 1 species
UACGUAGGUGGCAAGCGUUGUCCGGAUUUAUUGGGUUUAAAGGGUGCGUAGGCGGUCUAUUAAGUCAGUUGUGAAAUACGGCAGCUCAACUGUCGAGGUGCAAUUGAUACUGAUGGACUUGAGUACUGAUGAGGUAAGCGGAAUGGACGGUGUAGCGGUGAAAUGCUUAGAUAUCGUCCAGAACACCGAUAGCGAAGGCAGCUUACUAAGGAGUAACUGACGCUGAGGCACGAAAGUGUGGGGAGCAAACGGG